GGAGAGAAAAUUCCGAUGGCAGUUGAGAGCAACGGUGGAGCAGCGAAGCCCACAGGCAGCAGAGCACACAGACCUGGGAGGGGUGCAGAGGUGGCAUCAGCGCUAUGAGGGCGUGCAGGGGAAAGCUGAUGGGAGGGAAAGGGCAGGAGUUACGGCUGCCUCUGGUGCUGAACGGUGGACACUGUGAAUCAAGACCAAAUUCGUGACAAACUCACACAUUUUUAAAAGAAGCAAAUCAGCAACUGCCAAGUCCAAAGGAGCUGGCCAAAGAUAAGACCAAGGGAUAAAAUAAAUCCUUGCUGGAGGACCAGAGUUUGUCCUGCAGACCCAGGGAGGAGAGUUGCACUGGGGAGAAGGAGAGAUGGGGAGCAGGUGGCACUCACUCCAUGAAUGACUGGAGUGUAGGGGCAGCUGGGAGUCCUUUAAGUUCCAGCUUGAAGAGAGUGAGCCGGAGCUCAUCUCACACUCGUUCACCUCAGACACAAGAAAUGAAUGAUGCCCUCUCCCCAUCCCACCCUUUACUCUCUCUGGGCAAGAAGCACUGUCUGCAAGGCCCCUGGGGGGAAGAAGCAGGGAAAGUAGGUGAGGUGGCCCAAAGCCCUCCACAAGUCCUGCUUUCCUCGCUUGGCCUUGCUCCCCCAUCUCCUUGGGAAGCUGUUGUCCUAUCCAUUGAGCUGAGUGUUUCCAGUAAGAACACUGUCAGCCUCUAGCAGCAUCCCUCCAACUGCCAGCACCCUGCCAUUGCCCAGACAGUCUAAGGCCCCAGGGUGUGGCCAAUUCAGAUAUGAUCCAGCUACGGUGGGGUUCACUGAUGCUGAGUGUAGUUGGGAGCCCUUCCUCUUGUUGUUCUCUCCUGCUGCUGAGUCUCCUCUUCUGCUCCUAGCCACCAGUAAGAGAGGUUUUAUCAAUCCCCACCGUCCAACAAUUACAUUCAUCUGCAUCUCCGGCUCAAGUCACUGCAGAGUCUCCCAGAUUCUCACAAGACUGCCAUUGUCCAGAAAUGUGUACAGAAUGCUCACUGCACCACGUUCAAGCCUGAGAAAGUCCCAAAUGCUCAAGGAGUAUACAACAUCACAGAGAAGACAUGAUUAAUAUUGAACAAACAUAUGCAAUAAUCCAGGCAAUGGAUAAGUGCCCACAAGUGACCUAGAGAGAGGGUCCCAUGAGCUAUACUGAUAAUGACAAUGGUGAUAGCAACUUUGGAAGCCAGUUAAUAUUGGAAUAUGGCAAAGCCACUAUCAGCCUGUUUCCUGAGGGAACGCAUAGAGCCGAACUUUCUCCCUGCGCCUACUCCAACAAUCUGGAAUGUCUGCCUUGGAAUAUUAUGUGAGAAAGAAAUAAACAUCUCUUGUGUUUGAACCAUUAUAUUUUGGGUCUAUUUGUUACCACAGUUUGGUCCACCCUGACA
rnacentral:lncRNA from 1 species